UAAUUUAUCGUUGACUCGGCC
rnacentral:siRNA from 1 species